rnacentral:tRNA from 1 species
GGGUACAUAGCUCCAACGGUAGAGCGGCGGAUUCCAAAUCCGUAGGUUGUGGGUUCAAAUCCUACUGUACCCGCCA